rnacentral:tRNA from 1 species
CACCCCGUUGCCGAGCAGAACAGGCAGGCGGUUGCAACCCGCCAGACGCUGGUGCAAAUCCAGUCGGGGUGUCCA